rnacentral:tRNA from 1 species
GUUGUCGUGGCCGAGUGGUUAAGGCGAUAAACAAAAAAUAUUUUGGGAUCUUCCCGCGCAGGUGCGAAUCCUGCCGACAACG